AGUCUUAUGGUGUAAUAAAACACAUUAGGUUGCAAAUCUAAAAAUGUAUAGAAGCUAGGACUU
rnacentral:tRNA from 1 species